rnacentral:lncRNA from 1 species
CACUGAUUUUGCACAUCAGCAUGAAACGAAAAGCAUAAUAAGCUGAAAGAAAAUGCUCCUGUGAACAGAAAAGAACACUUCUCAUCCAUAAACUUGCAUCACGCGUUCAUCUUCCUCUUCGUAUUUUCGAAUCGUCGCGCACCAAUUGAAGAAACCACGACUCCACUUCAUCGAUUCGUGACUCAACAUCAUCAUCAAUGUUCAGAUCGGUUGUAUGCAUGUGGAAACGAAGAAAAACAUAAUUGACACCAGGAAACUCACCAGAUUUUGAAGCUUUGAUUGCAAACAGGUAUCAAAACUUUCUACUUCUUCGAUUUUGAUUCACACUUCUUCUUCUUCUUAUUCACGUGCGAGCAUUAGAUACGGAUGAGAGGGAAGCGAAGUACACCGUGAAUUCGCAUCGCAGUGAGUUUGUGGUAUGAGAGUUGCGAAUUACUCGAUCAAUUGCAUCAUGAUGAUUGCGCCUUCUGCGAUUUGCUUGCGUGUUUGCAGAAGCAGAUUGAGAGUGAAAAAGGUGUGUUCUGAGAUUCGUGGCGAAGAUUGAAUGUUCGAGAGGUGUGAAAAUCAUGAAGAUAUGAGAAGAGUGAAUUGUUAUGAGAUAUUGCCAAUGUGAGAGAGUGAUGAGUGAGGAAGAUGAUUAUUCUGUGAAGGAAAGUGAGAGUGUUGUAUAGCUGUUUAUUUGAGAUUGCAAGAAAUGGUGAAUGAUCUGAGAUUUUCUGUUUUGAGAGAAAAAAAGUUCCAGUUGAAAUUAGGAGGUGAACUUUGUUUAUAUAAGUGAUGAUGAUUCAGUUAAGUUGUUAUCCUGUUAUGCCUUCCAUCCAAAAUUUUGUUGAGUUGGUUAUGAAUUCUAUUGGAUUUUGUUACCAUUUCUACUAUGAGAUUUUUGCUUUCUGUUCAAAGUUUUUUAGGUGGUUUUUGAAAACAGUUAGAGUUUUUAUGAAGUUAGUUAUGAGGAAAACAAAAUUAGGUGGCUGUUAAUGGUUUGUUGUGCAAGUUUGUCUUUGAGCUAAGUUGGAAAAAAAUGAAUUACAUUGGUUCUGUUAUGAUUAUGCAGGUAUGUGGUUUUGGGUGAAGCAGGGCAAUGGUGUUGAAUGUUGCUCUGUUACCAUAUUAUGCAGGGCUGAUGUAUUAGUUGCUUUCACUUGUGUUCAGGGCUAUGCGUUUUUUAUAAAAAUUUUACAGGGUUAUAUGCUUUGUGAUUUUUCUAUCAUGAACUACCUUUGCGUUGUGAAAUAUUAUGCCCUAUUUAAGGUCAGUUUAUAAGUGUAUAUGUUAGUCUCAAUUUUCUUGGCAAAGACCAAUAGGUUAUGUAGAAUUGAAAUGCAAUUGGGAUUUGAUGUGGAAAAUUGAAUGGUAUGUCAAAUAUGUAGUGAAUUAUUCAUUGUGUAUGAUUUUUUUUGGAUUGUAAUGGUAUAGGAAAUUGUGCAUGGUUGGAAAGUUGUGUUGAAUUUAAAUGUGUAUAAUUUAUGGAAUUGGAUUGGAUGGGAAUAUGUAUGUGAAAUAUACUGAAGGUGUGCUAUUUGAAUGUUUGCAAUAAAUGGUUAUGGAAUUGGAUUCAAAUGGUUAAGAUUAGGAUUUUGUGUAUGACUUGAACAUGAAUUUCGAUUUUUGUGUGUUGGUAUGGUUGUAGGUCUUUAAGCAAAGCAUGACAUGACUUUAUGGUGGGCAAGGCAAGGCUUAUGGCAUCGAAAUGGUCAAAUUGAAAAAAAUGGAGUUUUCUCGAUCAUGAAGCAACAUUGGAUCAAGUAUGGAUGUAUAUGUAGUCAAUAUUAAGUUUAGGAGGAAGAAAUGUAAAGGUUGACUUUGGUCAUCUAUUUGAUCAAAAGGUCAACAGUUGACCAAAAAGUCAAAAUUUGGAAAAUGUAUAUUUCUUUUAUUUCCUUAUAAUGGGAUAAUGUAUUCAUUGAUGAAUGAAUGCAAACUCAAAUGUUUGGAUGAAAUAAAAUAUGAUUGUAUGUGAAUCAAGACUUAAGCUUUGACAAAAAAUCAAACUUGACUUUAUGAAUGAAACAAAUCCC